GCUGCUCACCACGGACGCAACAACGAUGACGACAAACGAUCGGAAAGGGUGACAGGCUCGAGGUGUCUUUGAAUACAUCGGUUAAUCGCGGACAGCCAAAACCGAGAAUCGAACCCUGGAUUUUAACAGUGCCAGCUCAGCCCUCCGACGCCUGGGCCAUCCAGCCAGCUUGCGACAGACCUACGACUACCGACGUACUUGCCAGAGCUUGCGGCGCCGCCCAUGGACGGGAACUCCUCCAGGCUGCACAGAGAGGCGUCCGCUCUUUGGCACGGGGACGACUGAAAGCAUCUUCCCAGCGCCCCUGCCGCCGACCCAUUCUCUCUGGCUUUCCCGCAGGCGGGGCUGCU